ensembl:lncRNA
CGCCCAGACACCUCUCCGCAGCGGGGGGCUUCCUGCUCCGCGCCUCCACGGGGGACGACUGGGCCAGGACACCUCGGAGACCGGUGAAGGAGGAGUCCCGGGUCACUCAGGUCGGAGCCCUGCGUGUCCACAGCAACAUCAGACUGGAGUCGUUCAUCAUCCCCCGAAGCCCGGCGCGACCUCCAGCCGACGGAGCGGACCUCCCCCCUGCGGACCCCCCCGUGCCCACCCCCUCUAGCCCGUGUCCAGCGUUGCUACGGGCGACCCUGCAGAGGGACGGGGGCGCGGCGAGGGACGGGGGGCUCCAGGGCGGCGGCGGCGGCGGCGGCGGCGGCGGCGGCGGUGCCGGCGGCGGAUGCGGCUGCUGCAGCUCGGGGCCCAUGCCGCUGGUGACGGACCUGGAGUACGACGCCUUCGUCCGGGGCCAGGGCCCCGUGGCGAGCAGGUCCUGGUGGUGUGUGUGACCGCGCCCGACGGCCGUGACGACACGCUGGAGCUGCUCCAUCAGAGACGGAGCAGGAGACGCAGCGCGCCGUGCGUUCAGUGUCAGAUGGACUCUUUCCGCCUGGUGAGGUACGAGGUGUCCGCAGGGAGGACCGGCCCGGCCAGAAGAAGCCUGCUGCAGAUCCGCCACAGCGUCGCUCCUGGCACACUGCUGAUGUACAUCAGGGGGAAGCUGCUGUUUGCCGACCACGUCUCAAACUGCUCCCGCGGCUCCAUCAGGAGCCUCCACCGGCAGAUCUCCACCAGCAGAAGGGACUUCAGGCUGGGCUUGAGUCUCCCUGCAGACCACAAGAUCAGUGCUAAGCUGAAGGGCUCCGUGGCCGCAGACUCGCUGUCCACUCUCGAGUCCUGGCCGAUAUCGACCUCCCUCGACCGCAGCGAAACGCGUCUGAGGCACACGGCGACUCAAGAUCCGAUCUUCUGAGAAGCCAUCAAGAUCAGAGGACACCCCAACAGGACGGGAGAACGAUAAAACACAGUCCUGUUGCCCAUCCUACUCCUCUUGUCAGACACUAAACAUCUCCAGCCAUGUCUACUGUACCACAUGACCUAAUAAUAAACUGGUGUGCUACAUCUGUCAGUCAGGGCAGAGUGUGUGACUUUGUGUUGAGGAUGUGGAAUUGUGAGCCAUCAAAUCAUUGGUUAUUUCCUGUGCAAUAAAAGGAAACUAUGUUGAAAUCGCGAUUAUAACAUCACGAACUAUCACGCAAUUGCUCAACCAGGUGAUGUCACACACUGAUGUAGGUCUAGCUGGAAAAUGUAUAUUAAGACCAGGUCAUGCAUUAUGCAUUAAGUUUGAUAUCUUUGCAAUCACGACUUUGUUCUAUGACUUCUUAGAUUGUCUAUUUUAUUAUAGCCUUUUUUUGAUGCAAUACAAUUUCAAUAAAAAAACAUAACUUCUUA